AACGAACGCUGGCGGCAGGCCUAACACAUGCAAGUCGAACGAACCUUUCGGGGUUAGUGGCGGACGGGUGAGUAACACGUGGGAACCUGCCCUUAGGUUCGGAAUAACUCAGGGAAACGUGUGCUAAUACCGAAUGUUCCCUUCGGGCGAAAGAUUUAUCGCCUUUAGAUCGGCCCGCGUCUGAUUAGCUAGUUGGUUGAGGUAAUGGCUCACCAAGGCGACGAUCAUUAGCUGGUCUGAGAGGAUGAUCAGCCACAUUGGGACUGAGACACGGCCCAGACUCCUACGGGAGGCAGCAGUGGGGAAUAUUGCGCAAUGGGCGAAAGCCUGAAGCAGCCAUGCCGCGUGAAUGAUGAAGGUCUUAGGAUUGUAAAACUCUUUUACCGGGGACGAUAAUGACGGUACCCGGAGAAUAAGCCCCGGCUAACUUCGUG
rnacentral:rRNA from 1 species